rnacentral:rRNA from 1 species
GACGAACGCUGGCGGCGUGCUUAACACAUGCAAGUCGAACGGAAAGGCCCUGCUUUUGUGGGGUGCUCGAGUGGCGAACGGGUGAGUAACACGUGAGUAACCUGCCCUUGACUUUGGGAUAACUUCAGGAAACUGGGGCUAAUACCGGCUAGGAGCUCCUGCUGCAUGGUGGGGGUUGGAAAGUUUCGGCGGUUGGGGAUGGACUCGCGGCUUAUCAGCUUGUUGGUGGGGUAGUGGCUUACCAAGGCUUUGACGGGUAGCCGGCCUGAGAGGGUGACCGGCCACAUUGGGACUGAGAUACGGCCCAGACUCCUACGGGAGGCAGCAGUGGGGAAUAUUGCACAAUGGGCGGAAGCCUGAUGCAGCAACGCCGCGUGCGGGAUGACGGCCGUCGGGUUGUAAACCGCUUUCGCCUGUGACGAAGCGUGAGUGACGGUAAUGGGUAAAGAAGCACCGGCUAACUACGUG